rnacentral:rRNA from 1 species
AGUGAACGCUGGCGGUAGGCCUAACACAUGCAAGUCGAACGGCAGCACAGUAAGAGCUUGCUCUUACGGGUGGCGAGUGGCGACGGGUGAGGAAUACAUCGGAAUCUACUUUUUCGUUGGGGAUAACGUAGGGAAACUUACGCUAAUACCGCAUACGACCUACGGGUGAAAGCAGGGGAUCUUCGGACCUUGCGCGAUUGAAUGAGCCGAUGUCGGAUUAGCUAGUUGGCGGGGUAAAGGCCCACCAAGGCGACGAUCCGUAGCUGGUCUGAGAGGAUGAUCAGCCACACUGGAACUGAGACACGGUCCAGACUCCUACGGGAGGCAGCAGUGGGGAAUAUUGGACAAUGGGCGCAAGCCUGAUCCAGCCAUACCGCGUGGGUGAAGAAGGCCUUCGGGUUGUAAAGCCCUUUUGUUGGGAAAGAAAAGCAGCAGGUUAAUACCCCGCUGUUCUGACGGUACCCAAAGAAUAAGCACCGGCUAACUUCGUG